rnacentral:rRNA from 1 species
GACGAACGCUGGCGGCGUGCCUGACGCAUGCAAGUCGGACGGUCCGUGAUUGAUCAAGCUUGCUUGAUUGGUUGUGGAUAGUGGCGGACGGGUGAGUAACGCGUGAACACCUACCCAUUGGAGGGGUACAACCCGUCGAAAGGCGGGCUAAUACCGCGUAAGCCGUGAGGUGAAAGGCUGCUUUUUGGUGGCUGCCGAUGGAUGGGUUCGCGUCCUAUCAGCUGGUUGGUGGGGUAACGGCCUACCAAGGCUAAGACGGGUAGCCGGUCUGAGAGGAUGGCCGGCCACACUGGAACUGAGACACGGUCCAGACUCCUACGGGAGGCAGCAGUGGGGAAUAUUGGGCAAUGGGGGAGACCCUGACCCAGCGACGCCGCGUGAGGGGAAGAAGGUUUUCGGAUCGUAAACCUCUGUUGUACGGGAAGAAGGGAAUUGACGGUACCGUACGAGUAAGCCCCGGCAAACUACGUG